UAUGGAUCCAAUCAGACAUCACCAACGGACAUAAGGCUGACCAGGAGACUUUGGUAUAGACAGCUGGGAGGCCAGCCUUGAGGCAGUUCAAGAAGUUGCACAGAACGCAGCUGCGCAGUUGAGCAUGGAUGCCACAGAAGAAUCUCCCAGCUAGGCAAUUGGUGUCAGAGGUCCCUUUCCCCUAGUGCUAUGUUUUCAGUUUACCCUUCAACAAGACUAUAAGAAUCUCUAGCAGCUCCCUGUCAGCCAUACUGUACAACACACUAUGGACACAGCUUUUAACAGAUAAAAACCUUGGAUCAAGACCUCCCUUCAUUGGAUUGCAUAAAAGAUACGUGGGCUGAUACGUGGUCAAG